UCAAAAAUAAAAAUGUCAAGGUCUCCUAAUCUCUAGGAUAGGGAGAGUCAAAUUUGCAUGAGGACUUUUGAGAAAAAUCAAGGAUGCCUGAGGGGAUUUGAGUCCUACAGGCUCAGCACUUAUGAAAAAGGAUAAAGUCCUUCCCAGCCUGGCAGGAGAAGGAAAAGCCUGUGGUGGGGGAAGGGAGUGAAGGCGUGUGCCUCCUCAUGGAACACAGGGUCGGAGUCGGCUAGGAGGGAUAAGAGUACAAUAGAGGGUUGUGUGACACAGACAGGCUGCCAGCCCUCAGCAUGGACCCGGCACAUGGAAUCUGUGAUCUUAAAAGAGUCAAGUGACUACCUUUGGCAACCAAAAGAGACACUGCCUUUUAGAAGGCAUAUCAUCUGAAACUGGCUGAAAGAGCUGUCUUACUUAGGAAGAAAAAUCUCUCCUUUGGAAAGAGCUGGAACUUUUAGUAAAACUGAACAGUGAGGUGGCGGAAGAUAAAUAUGCUGAGGCAUGUUUUCAAGGAGGGGAGAGAGAUUCCUUUUCCUCAGCCGGGCACAGAGCCAACCUGAAGUGUAGCACUGUGGUGACCUGGCGGGAUCUGCUCUCCAGUCACUCCCGAGGGCCCUUCUGGGGACAAGGAGACUUUUCUGUGCGGCCUGUUGAUUUGAUAGAGAUGAUGUCUUGCCACAUUGCCCAGGCUGGUCUCAAACUCCAGGCCUAAAGGGAUCUUCUGACUUUGGCCUCCCAAAGUGCUGAGAUUAUAGAUGGGAAACACUCAGACAUCAACAGGCUCACCCUUGAAAUGCAUCCUAAGCCAUUGGGACCAAUUUGAUCUGCAAACCCUGAAAAAGAGGAUCGAGGCUAUCAAGCUACAGAUGAUCUUACAAAUGGAACCCCAAAUGAGCUCAACUAACAACUACCAAGGACCCCUGGACCAACCCGCUGGCCCUUUCAAUGGCCUAAAGAGUUCCCCUCUGGAGGACACUACAACUGCAGGGUCCUUUCUUUGCCCCUAUCCAGCAGGAAGUAGCUAGAGUGGUCAUCACCCAAUUCCCAACAGCAGUUGGGGUGUCUUGUUAAGUGGGGAGAUUGAGAGGUGAAGCCAGCUGGGCUUCUGGGUUGGGUGGGGACUUGGAGAACUUUUCUGUCUAGCUAGAGGAUUGUAAACACACCAAUCAGUGCUAUGUGUCUAGCUAGAGGUUUGUAAAUGCACCAAUCAGCACUCUGUAAAAACGGACCAAUCAGCACUCUGUAAAAUGGACCAAUCAGUAGGAUGCGGGCAGGGCCAAAUAAGGGAAUAAAAGCUGGCCACCUGAGUCAGCAGUGGCAACCCACUCGGGUCCCCUUCCAUGCUGUGGAAGCUUUGUUCUUUCACUCUUCACAAUAAAUCUUGCUGCUGCUCACUCUUUGGGUCCACACCACCUUUAUGAGCUGCAACACUCACUGCGAAGGUCUUCAGCUUCACUCCUGAAGUCAGCGAGACCACGAACCCAUGGGGAGGAACAAUCGACUUCAGACAUGCCACCUUUAAGAGCUGUAACACUCACUGCGAAGGUCUGUGGCUUCACUCCUGAAGUCAGCAAGACCACGAACCCACUGGAAGGAAGAAAUUUCGGACACAUCUGAACAUCUGAAUGAACAAACUCUGGACACGCCAUCUUUAAGAACUGUAACACUCACUGUGAGGGUUCAUGGGUUCAUUCUUGAAGUCAGCAAGACCAAGAACCCACCAGAAGGAACCAAUUCCGGACACAGACUCACUGCAACCUCCACCUCCUGGAUUCAAGUGAUUCUCCUGCCUCAGCCUCCGGAGUAGCUGUGCCUACAGGCACAAGCCACCACACACGGCUAAUUUUUUGUAUUUUUAGUAGAGAUGGGGUUUCACCAUGUUGCUCAGGCUGGUCUCCAACUCCUGAGCUCAAGUGAUCCACCUGUCUCGGCCUCCCAAAGUGUUGGGAUACAUGUGUGAGCCACUGUGCCCGGCCUCCUCUGGAUUAGUUCUUACAGGAAUAGAUUAGUUCUUGCUCGAGCAAGUUGUUAUAAAAGUGAGGUUGCCUCUAGUGUUUUGCAUCCUCACAUAUGUCUGCUUACCUCUUGACCUCUCUCUGUGUUAUGACCCAGCACAAAAGCCCUUACCAGAAGCCAAGCAGAUGCUGAUGCCACACCCCUUGGACUUCUCAGUCUACAGAGCCAUGAAACGAAUAAACCUCUCUUUAUAAAUUAUCCAGCUUCAGGUAUUCUGUUAUAGCAACACAAAAUGGACGAAGACAAC
rnacentral:lncRNA from 1 species